CGAGGAGUCGCCGCGGCAACGGCGUCACCCGCGAGUCACGGCCGUGACGUCACCGGGGCGCGUGACGUCAUCCGAGGAGCCCCCUCGCGCCGCCGCCGCCGCCGUCAGGGGAGUGUUCCCUCUCCUCCAACCACCCUCGCGCUCACACGUUUCUCUCCCCCCCCCACACACCCCCCCCGCUCAGUUUCCAUGGCUCCGGUUUCCUACUUUUCCUCCGUCCUCAGCCUGUUCUUGUCGUGUGGGAUUUUACUAGAAGAGCAGGGGUGGUGUUCUAAGAGAAGUUAAAAUCCUUGAGGGAGGAAGUUGGCCGGGAAGCCUAUACUACUUGUUACUUACUGCCAUUACAAAGUGGCUCUGGGUGUCGGGGUGUGUGGGGGGGCACAGGACACAAACAAACAAACACACACACACACAAAAAAACCCUUAAAUCCCAAGGUUGAAACAUCAGCCAAGACAAAUUCCAUAAAAAUACGUCGUGGAGCAGCUAAGUCCUCAGUAUGGGGCUUGGAUACUGUCCGUAAAGGACUUGAUCAGUUGAAAUUUCUCCACUGCUACCAAUCACAGUCAAGCUCAAGAUUUUUCCUGCCUUUUAAUGCUUUAACUGGCAGAAAAAAAGUGAACCCAAUCAAGACUCCUAGAUGGUACCGUUUUUUUUGAGACCAGGAUUUCUUUGGAAGACCACCAACUCAUCAAGGUUGUCACUUAGAUGCUACUGUCUGGUUGUGACUUCAGCAAAUAGAAUCUGGAUUUCUUUCACUCGGGUUAUUGUCCACUUCACUGAACAUUGCAUCUGGUACAGACGGACAGAGGCAUCUUUUGCUGACGCAACAUCCCUCACAGCACACGUCAAGAAUAUACACUAUCACCAAAUGACUGUUUUAUGUACUGGAUCAUUGCCGUUGGUUAAGUUUUAUCGUGACCUCUUAGAUUAACCUUUUUCUGAGGCACUCUGACUGUAGCCCCUCACUUCUCACCCCUUUUGUCAGCUCGAAUCAGGUAAGAGCAGUCUGUGCCCCAGGCCCCUAACAGCCCUUAGGGGUGACCUUUCCGGGGAGGAGGGGAGGAGUCAGAUUCCCUGGUAGGCAAGCAGAGAGGGAGAAGGGCCAUGACUAGGUUAUAAAGAUGUUGAACUUUCAAGAUGGCCAGCUUCUUCAUCACCCUCCUGACCUGAGACCAAAGCAUAGCAGCUUAAAAUAAAGGCCUUGUGGGCUUUUCUGCUGCCAGUGGGCCUCAGCUAAGGGACUGGGUCGAGCUCAAGGCCACAUCAGGAUAGGUUUACACAGCAGCUGUGGGCCGAUCAGCCACGAGUCUUUCUUCUGACCCACCAGCCCUAAAUUAGAGAAGGAAGGCCUUUCAGAGACUGAACCCAGGCCUGAAGAAGACACUAGGUUUUUCAACUUCCCGAGUCCCCCGUCAGCGUUGUAUGGGUUCUUUUUUUCCUGUGUGGCUGCUGUAUGUCUGUGUCCUUGUUACCAAUAAAAGCUGUUCUUCAACUGCGAAAAUAAAGAAAACAAGCCAAGCAAGCCAUGGGGA